rnacentral:rRNA from 1 species
CCCUUAGAUGUUCUGGGCCGCACGCGCGCUACACUGACGAAUGCAACGAGCUUAUAACCUUGGCCGAAAGGUCUGGGUAAUCUCCAAAUUUCGUCGUGAUGGGGAUAGAUUAUUGCAAUUAUUAAUCUUCAACGAGGAAUGCCUAGUAAGCGCAAGUCAUCAGCUUGCGUUGAUUACGUCCCUGCCCUUUGUACACACCGCCCGUCGCUCCUACCGAUUGAAUGGUCCGGUGAAGCGCUCGGACCGCGGCCGCUUGACGGUUCGCUGUCGAUUGGCUGUGGGAAGUUCGUUAAACCUUAUCAUUUAGAGGAAGGAGAAGUCGUAACA